rnacentral:lncRNA from 1 species
GUUGUAUCUCAGAAAAUUAGAUUGUUUGUUUGUUUGUUUUUGAAGUUAGUAAAAACUCUGUGCUGACAAGUCUUUUAAUGCUUUAGAGAAAGUGGGUUAUUGAAAUAUAGAAGAGGUGACUGCGAAGCACACACAGAGUGAUGAAAAUUGCCUGUUUGGUUCCAGUGGUAUCUCUACUGUCAAUGGAAAUGUUCUUAUAUCUAGGAGUAGCUUAAAUGGAGGGGAGUCAAUCUUGUGAACAAAUCUCAGUAACUAGUCGAGAAACAGUUUCAUCAGGUUACCUGGUAAAGACUUAAUUUUACUCAGUGAUUUAUUGAUUUUUUUUUUUUUUUUAGCAUUUACCUGACACACGCUUUCUGUGUGGUUGUUUAGGGGAUAUAUAUGAAAAUAAGCAUUAAUGAAAAAAGCAAAUAGAUGUCCUCAUACUUGUCUCUGCCUCUCCCAGAAAUUGCCUUUUCAUCAUUGUCUUUGAUCAGAAGUGUGUUUUUAUCACCUCAAGUUCUGAUGAUGACAUGUCAAAGAAACACUUCCCCAGACUCACUUCCAGGAAGUAAGAGAGAUUUCUCGGGUUUCCUUGGUCUAAUGCCUUGCAAAAGCAUAAAGCCAAAACAAAGGGAGACAGACUUCCUUGGCUGUAUUCUGGCCAUAAAUUGUACCAUAGUAUCUGAAAUGUCUGCAAGACUCUGACCACGUAACUCCAAACUGCAGUGAUCAGAGAUGACACAGGACUCCGUGUUUGCAAGUGAAAGUUUGCACAUCUGUUUUCUAUGAUGCAUUGGGCUGACAAGAGAUGGAGGAUCUGAUGGCAUCCUAUGUGGCUUACAUUCUAGCCACCUGCUAUUGCCAACUAUCAAGCCAUAUUGCCUCCCUUCCCCAUUCUUGGUUUUUUUUUCAUCCAAAUAUAUUAAGUUCACCUUAAGGUUAGUUAGAUUUUUCUACUACUGUGACGGAGUGUGCCAAAGUAUGAAAGCAUGGUUACUUUGAAGCCUUGAUUUAAUUGCAGUCUAAAUAUAUUCUUGAACAUCUUAUGUUGUGCAUGUGUUAUUCUUUCAUUUGAAUAGCUUUACCUUUCCCUUAACUUUUAUUUGUUCAUACCAAGAUCUUGUAAGACAGCCUUCUUCAUUCCCCUAAAUGUCCUAGCAGCCCCUCUUGGCAGCUUGUCCACUUUGAGUUGAUCCAUCUUGAACUUGUUGGACCAGGUCUUAUCACUACGUGUUAUGAAGAUACUAACAUAUUCCUUUCUCUGCAUCUUAGGAUCCUGUAUCUUCUUCCAUUCAUGUCUGAUAUACAUUGACUGAUAUACCUAC